UACGAAGGGGGCUAGCGUUGUUCGGAAUUACUGGGCGUAAAGCGCACGUAGGCGGAUUUGUAAGUCAGGGGUGAAAUCCCGGGGCUCAACCUCGGAACUGCCUUUGAUACUGCAAGUCUUGAGUCCGAUAGAGGUGAGUGGAAUUCCUAGUGUAGAGGUGAAAUUCGUAGAUAUUAGGAAGAACACCAGUGGCGAAGGCGGCUCACUGGAUCGGUACUGACGCUGAGGCAUGAAAGCGUGGGGAGCAAACAGG
rnacentral:rRNA from 1 species